GCCUCGGUAGCUCAACUGGCAGAGCAACUGCUUCGUAAGCAGUAGGUUGAGGGUUCAAGUCCCUCUCGAGGCU
rnacentral:tRNA from 1 species